rnacentral:rRNA from 1 species
UACAGAGGUCCCAAGCGUUGUUCGGAUUCAUUGGGCGUAAAGGGUGCGUAGGUGGCGCUGUAAGUGGGGUGUGAAAUUUCGGAGCUUAACUCCGAAACUGCAUUCCAUACUGCGGUGCUUGAGGACUGGAGAGGAGACUGGAAUUUACGGUGUAGCAGUGAAAUGCGUAGAGAUCGUAAGGAAGACCAGUGGCGAAGGCGGGUCUCUGGACAGUUCCUGACACUGAGGCACGAAGGCCAGGGGAGCAAACGGG